GGGGUUGUGGCUUAGGGGUAGAGUGCUUUCCUAGAAUGCAUGAGGCACUGGGUUCGAUCCUCAACACCA
rnacentral:tRNA from 1 species